rnacentral:rRNA from 1 species
AACGAGCGCUGGCGGCAGGCUUAACACAUGCAAGUCGAGGGGAAACGAUAUUGGGAGCUUGCUUCCGAUAGGCGUCGACCGGCGCACGGGUGAGUAACGCGUAUCCAACCUGCCCAUCACUUGGGGAUAACCUUGCGAAAGUAAGACUAAUACCCAAUGACGUCUCUAGAAGACAUCUGAAAGAGAUUAAAGAUUUAUCGGUGAUGGAUGGGGAUGCGUCUGAUUAGCUUGUUGGCGGGGUAACAGCCCACCAAGGCGACGAUCAGUAGGGGUUCUGGGAGGAAGGUCCCCCACAUUGGAACUGAGACACGGUCCAAACUCCUACGGGAGGCAGCAGUGAGGAAUAUUGGUCAAUGGACGAGAGUCUGAACCAGCCAAGUAGCGUGCAGGAAGACGGCCCUAUGGGUUGUAAACUGCUUUUAUAGGGGAAUAAAGUGAGUCUCGUGAGACUUUUUGCAUGUACCUUAUGAAUAGGGACCGGCUAAUUCCGUGCCAGCCGCCGCGGUAAAAC